AUAAAUAAACAGGGAGAGACAGCCAGGGAGCCGAGCUAAGCACUGCUUUGAUGUCGCAUGAACUACUGUAGUUUUAAGGACCUCGUGCUUCUGAGAGCCUCUUUGGAGUCAGCCGACACUGCCCAGUGAAAGACGGGAUCCACUUUCCCUCACUUCUCUCCUCCCGGUGACAGCUGUUGUCGCUUGACUCAGAGGAAAGCCAUUUCUCUGCUCUCGCAGGCUUUGCAGCCCUUUCCUGGCAGGAUUCCUGCAGUCAUCCCCACCCCUGGGGCGGCAGAGGACGAGGACAGCCUGGGCUGGGCCAGGCUCUCCUGAGGUUCCUGUGUCUCUUGCCAGCUGGUCCCAGGACUCUGCAGCAACAUCCUAUUUUUAAUCUCUGCUAACCUGGCUUGCUCUUGGUUGUCCCCGCUGGGAAACGGGUUCAGCUUGGCUUGUGUACCGAGGGCUCUGGAGGAGAAUGGUCCGCUUGCCAGCAGAACUCGUAGAAGGAAAGCGUGGGCAUCUUCAGUGGGGCUGAGCUGGGCGCUCCAGCUACACGGACGCAUCUACUGUCCACUGAAAGAGAAAACGACCAACCCUGAAUAGCUGAUAAAAAGGGCGUAGGUUUGAUAAGAACUCCAUAUCUUCUGUGAUCUUAAGAUUGUGUGGAUGUCACACAGCAUGGAGGAGUGUCGGAGGCUGUCUCCUUUCUGUAACUGGAUCAUCUCCCAUGGCAGGUUCCCUCUGGCUUACAGCAACAGCAGCGACCACAGUGAUGGGGAUGUGCCUGGACCUUUCACCUGGUUUCCAGGUAGAGGGGAGGGCGGCCAGCUCAGAAAGCUGAUGUAGAUGAAAACGGACAUGACCAGGCGCUGUAACGCUCUCUGCUAAAUAAACACCUAUUCCCUUGGCUCAUGGUUGUGCUGUUUAUUGAGAUUUACAUCAUGGGUCGUGCAUUAACUUUGUGUAUCUGCACUACUGGUUACACUUUUUUAAAAAAUUAUUUAUCUAUUUAUUUUUUUAAAUUUAUAUAUGACAGCGGAAUACAUU
rnacentral:lncRNA from 1 species